AGGAAAGAGAGAGGAGGAAGAAGGAAGGAGGAUGAAGGAGGAGGGAGGAGAGAGGAAGGAGGAAGGAGAGAGGAUGGGGUGAGGAGGAAGGGAGGAGAGAGGAGGAAAGAGGAGGAAAGAGAAGAAAGAGAGAGAGGAGGGAGGAAGGAAGGAGGGAGGAAGGAGGAAGGAGGAGGAGGAAGGAGAAGAGGAGAGAGAUUGGCUGGAUGCCAACUGUAAAGGCCGAACCCCUGCAGAGAGGGAAAUGUGCACUUCAAAGUGUUGAAAAUUCGAAGGGCAUGGUGGGAUUGUUGACAAGCUGAAGCCUGGCGUCGCCCACACAGCCUCGCCGACGCCACGCUGGAGAGUCCUAGAGAUCAGACUGGACUGAAUGUGGAACCUGGACUAAGAUGAGUCUGACUCUUCUGGCUCAGAAGAAGGAUGGAGGUGUCCAACAUGUGGACGGUGACAGAUGAACUCUGGACCUGUCAUGUGAUCUCUAAUCUAUGUCACUGGAUGCUGCUUAAUGUAAUGUUUCCAGAGAACGCCGUCCUGUUCGUCUGAUACUCUGUCACUGGAAGAACGUCUUUAUGCUGGAGACAAACGUUCUAAUCGCCGCUGUCAUGUGUUCUGCUGCUAAAUAAAAGCCCAUGCUGCUCC